GGCCCACAGCGCUGUCUCUGUUCACUGCCCCUGUGUGCCCGCUCUUUCUCAAUGAUCUUCCCCAGAGAGAAAGAGAACGACACCCCCGUCGGUCCCCGCUUGUCACCUUCCUCAAACAACCCUGUUCUCACCCAGAAAGCACAGUCUGGCAAAGCGAGCUGCUCGUGGCCCUGGCACAGGGCGCCAGGCCUGCAAUGGCAGCUCUGUCCCGACUUUCCCGGCCAGCGGCACAUCCACUUUGCACCCCGCUGUAACCCCACCUGAUGCCUGAGAACACUGAGGCCCAGGAGAGUCGAUGACAGGCCUGCAGUCCUGACAGAGCCAGUGCUCAGACCCUCAAGAUUCCUCAGCCUGGAUCUGUGACUUUCCCUAAGCUGCCUUCUUGUCCCCAUUCAAGGGGGUGCCCAAAGCCUUUGACUCUUAAUCUCUUCUCUAGCUUUGCAAUUCCAGGGACGACGCUGAGCUCAUCUGUAACCUUUAAGGGUUGGGAAGAAGUCACCCCAUGCGCUUGCAAACUGAAGUGUACCUGUCAAUCAGCUGGGGGCCUUGUCAAAAGCAGAUUCUGCUGCGGUGGAUGUGAGAGUCUCGCUCUGUCGCCUAGGCUCCAGUGCAAUGGCGAGAUCUCGGCUCACUGAAACCUCCACCUCCCGAGUUCAAGCAAUUCUCCUGAAUAGCUGAGAUUACAGGCACGCGCCACCACCCACAGCUAAUUUUUGUAUUUUUAGUAGAGACGGGGUUUCACCACGUUGGCCAGACUGGUCUUGAACUCCUGAUCAAGUGAUCCGCCCACCUCAGCCUCCCAGAGUGCUGAAAUUACAGGCAUGAGCCACCCCACCUGGCCCUGAAUAAAU
rnacentral:lncRNA from 10 species